CAAAAAAUGACUCUCGGCAACGGAUAUCUCGGCUCUUGCAUCGAUGAAGAACGCAGCAAAAUGCGAUACUUGGUGUGAAUUGCAGAAUCCCGUGAACCAUCGAGUUUUUGAACGCAAGUUGCGCCCGAAGCCAUUAUGCUGAGGGCACGUCUGCCUGGGCGUCACA
rnacentral:rRNA from 1 species